GACUUCUUGAGAUGGCGUGUCGAGAGUGGCUAGUAUUCUGCCAGCUUCAGAAGCAGGAUGGAGAACAUGCCUGCUGAGGUACCCAUUCCGUUCCCAGUUUGCUCAGCAGCUGGUGAAUGGAAGAUACUCUAUAACACAG